GCCCUCAUAGUUUAACGGAUAAAACGCGGCCCUGCGGAGGCCGAGAUCGAGGUUCAAUUCCUCGUGGGGGUA
rnacentral:tRNA from 1 species